CAGGGUUGUUGAAAUCAAAUUUAGGGACUUUACUGACGGGACUCUGGGCUGGCUGCUCUGUUCACUCGUCAGCGCAAGUGGCGUGACCAUGUAAUUGGGGCACGGGGCCGGCGCGGCGCGCUGCGGGCUUGCAGAAUUUUGUUUGUUUGUUUGGCCGCGCGCUGGCGCAGCCACGGGCCGCAGUUACUGGGGCGCGCUGUCGUAACAAGCCGCGCGGUGUGGCCUGCUCAUUGGGGUAGAGGGGGGGUAGUCUUCCCAGAUGUUCUAGUUAGUUGUUUAGUAAAUUUGACUUCAAUAACGAGCUUUUGUUAUGGUAGGCGCGGCAGGGCGCGCGAAUUUAAGCGCAAGUGAGUGGUGACUCGGGGCUCACUCAGGCGGAGGCUAUGCGUCUCACCUGUGGUCACGAGUUGUUAGUUCGUUCGUGAUGUAGGAAUUCAAGCUUUCGGGCGGAAGCUAUGGUCGACGCCAGAGGCCACGAGUCGUUUAAUUUAAGUUAGGUCAUAAUGUAGUCGUCAAGCUCACUCAGGCGGAGGCUAUGCGUCUCACCUGUGGUCACGAGUUGUUAGUUCGUUCGUGAUGUAGGAAUUCAGGCUCACUCAGGCGGAGGCUAUGCGUCUCACCUGUGGUCACGAGUUGUUAGUUCGUUCGUGAUGUAGGAAUUCAGGCUCACUCAGGCGGAGACUAUGCGUCUCACCUGUGGCCACGAGUUGUUUAGUUAGUUCGUUCGUGAUGUAGUUUAAGUUAGGUCAUAAUGUAGUCGUCAAGCUUUCGGGCGGAGGCUAUGGCCCUCGUCAGGGGUCACGCGUCAUAGUUUUUAAAAUGUAAUGUUCGUUCGGGAUUUCAAGGGCAGGAGAGGCCCCUACGUUAUUUUUUUUAAAGUAAUCGAUCAAGAAAGGCUUUUCGGAAAAUGUGAGUAUGGACUUAUCUUUGUUUUAAUUUUAAGUAUUAAUUAUGAUUUGAGGUAUUCGGAAGGACUAGGGAAGUGUUUAGUGAAGUUCUCUCAUUCUCUCUCUUGUAAGGUCGUUCAAUCGUUAAGGAAGUAAAGAGAUUAUUGUUUUAAAUUGUAAUCCCGCUAUUCAAAUGUUCUUUAAAAUGAUGUUGAGUAUUUGACUUUAAGAAUAAAAUAAUUUUAAUUAAGUAUUAUGUUAUUUUGCAAAAUCUCCUUAGUUCAGCUCUCACCAGACAUCCUGUACGGGAUGACGAACCUAUGAUCCUAGGUACAGUAAAGUAUUUUAUGAAGUUAAGACUAGUUGAUGCCAAGCGAGUUGUUUCUAUGUAAAGAGCUACGAUUCUCUCCCCCCUCUGAAGGUGGAUCGUGACAGAAAUGGUGGAGGCGCCGGGUAGGUUCUAUUUCUGGAGAGAGAGAGAGGUAGAUUUUUAUGUUUAUUAUUAAGUUAGUUUCAGCUUCUGAUAGCAGGUUAUUAAGAGUUUACUUGAGGAGAGGAUUACGGAAUUUAAUCUAAGUGGAGGAAGUCUUUGAGAUUUUUUUUUUGACGUAACAGAUGAUUAUUUGAGUAUACUUGUAAGGAUAAAGUUUAUAGUGAUAAGUUGUUUUAAGUCGUUGAAUUUAUUGUAGAUUUAUAUCGGGGAUUAUUACGUGAGGAGAAUACGUUAUAAGUUAAAUGCUUAUUAGAGAUAAUGCAAGUGGUUUAAUUUAAUUGAAGUUCAUUUUAAGAUUGUAGGUUAAGAGAAUUAUAAUUUAAAAUAAAGUUUUUUGUCGUAAAUAGGAAUUAUUUUCAAGAGAAGUUUGUUUUGUUUUCGUGCGCGUAGGAGACGAGACGUACGAAUUAAAUCAGUCGAGGGAAGGAUAAACGUUAGAAAGGAAUUAAAGAGAAAACGAGAGUUUAUGUAAAAGAGAGUUAUAGAAUUUAUAGUGAUGUUUUGUUUUAAUUAGAAAAAUGUUGAGAGUUGUUUCAGAACGACACGUCAGUGGACGUGGCAGAGUGAACACGUGACGGGGAGGUGCUGAGACCUAGCGGAGAACGGAGGAACCGCAAGCGAGGGUUGGCGCACCUGAUGGAAUUCGGUGACGUCACGGGCUCAUACGGAGACGUGGACAGGCCGUGACCUUGUUUUGAUCAGCUGUACGGUAACUUAGCGAUAAGAAAAUAGACUAUUGGUUAAAUAAAUUUAAAUUUAAGUGUGUUUUAGGAGAAGAGGAACUUUCAGUAUGUAAGUAAUUUAUUUUAAGAAGUGUAUGAUGUAUAGGCUAGAAGUGUUUCGUUGUAAGUUGUUUAUGUUUUUGUUAGUUAAAUUCUACCUCGGUUUUAAAAAUAUUUUUUUUGGGAUUUGUAAACAGUAAUAAGGAGGUACACUAUAAAAUCGAUAAGCAUUGAGAAAAAUGGGAAGGCUAGAUUUUGUGUGUAGAGGGAAUUUACUCCAAAAGAACAGAGAGACAAAAUUAAUGUUUUCAUUAGGGCGAGGGACCCUAAGGUGAGGCGUUGUGUCCCUGGGAAGAAAGGGAAUUGUAGCGCAGACCAUAGGAGAUGGGCUGACUACGGAAUUAAGGGUCAGGAGAAUCCUGAGAGUUGUGAGUAAUUGGGGCAGGAGUUCCCCAUGGUAGUACCGAAGUGGCUAUCCUGUAUGGGAUAGGGUACCAUUUCAAUGAAGUUUGUUGGUGGGGUUAGAGCCCCCUGUGUAGUGGGCCUAUAGCAGAUAGGCACUACAGUGAAAUUUUUGGUUAUUUUGUGAGGUAAAUUCCAUGGAGGUUAAGUAAGAUUGGAUUCAGUUAGGAAGGAGGGAAAUGAGAAACAUUGCUGUAGAGAGUUAGUGUACUUGCCUAAUGUGAAAUUGAAUUUUACUAAAUUAAUUUAGGAGAAAGUUUUGUUCGGUAAUUAAAUAAUAAUGGAAGAUAGCUAGAUAAUUAAUUAAUUUUUUUUGAGUAAGGUGUUUUAAGUAAUGAAAUAAAAUAAGGUGAAGUAAUUUGAAUAAUUGGGGAGGAGUUUCUUUAAGAGUUUAGAUAAUUGUUUUUGAAUUUAUUGAGAUAUUCAACCAGUGAAGUUUGAGUGUGAGAGAUACAGUGAGAUUUUAAGGAAAUCGGUUGUUUAUUAAUUAGGACAAAUGAGAUUUUAUGAUUAAGAGUCAGUAAGCAUAGUUAAAAUUUACGACAUGAUAUUUGUUGACAGUUUACAGUUAUUAAGGAGAAAACAGAGUAAUCUAUUUAUUUUUAUUUUAAUGGUUUGAAGAUAAGAUUAUGAAUUUUUUUUGGAAGUUUCUUUGGCAUGUUGGAAUAAUUUUUUUUGAUUUUUAGAAUUUACAGAGAAAAUUUAAUUGAUUUACAUUAGUUUGGAAGUAUGGAGGUUUAGUGUUCGAUUAGCCCUAACUUGAUGGUCGGAUCCCAAAAGAAUGCCGUAAAACCGAUAGCCAUUUGAGAGGAAUGCGGUAGGCGCUUGUGUAGAGAGGGGUUGUGGGAAAACUCCUUGGGACUGAUGGCAGAUCAGGGGCCCUAAAUAGUGUGUGAUGCUGUAAAACCAGUGCAGGGAAAGCCUGGUAUGCUUAAAUUUUUGGGCACAGGUUAUGUAAACCUGGGGUUCCAUGGGAUUUAGUCAUGCUAGCUGCUGUGAGACAUUAAGAUUUCCAGGCUCCAUAGUAAAUUCAAUGUAAAUUUUUGUUUUCUUAAAAUAAUAAAUUUGUUUUUAAUUUAUUUGAGAUAUUUGAUUUGGAACAGUGAAUACAGACCCCGAGGAAUAAGAGUUGUCAUGCUGUGAGAGGAGAAGGUGGUAGGCCUAAAAGGGUACAGGCACCACAGAGGUUAUGUGCAUUGCAUAAUUUAAAUAUAAGGAAACUUGAGAAUUUGAAAUUUUGUUGUUGGUUUGUACACCCAUAAGAAGAGUAUAGGCAGAAUUUUUAUUGUUAUGAGAUGUCUAAUUUAAUUGAAAAGAAGAAAGUUUAAAGAUGCAAGGUAACAUUAUUAUUGUAAUAAUUGAAAGAGAUUAAGAGGUAGAGAGAAAUAGGCAGUUUUUGUUUGUAAGUACUAAAGUUUACAUAUAGAAAUUUAGUAACUAAGAAUGAAUAAUAAGUUAAGUCUAGUGUAAAAGUUUUUUUUAAGUUUGUUAAGUUAAGAGUCACAAGUAAAUUUUUUUUUAGAGAGAAUGUCUUUGAUAGGAAGUAUUAGAAACUUAUGGGAAUUUUAGGGUAACAUAAAUAAUGUAGGUAAUGAAUAAUAAAUAGAUGGUAGGUCUUAAGUUAGGAUUAACAUUUGAAGCAGAAUUUAAUUAAGAAGAAGGAAAAUAAAUAGGCCUAAUGAAAAGAACAAAAAAGGAUUUUAUGGUAAAGCAUUUUUUUUAAGUAAUAAACAAUGAAUAAUAAUGUUGUUUCAGGGUAAUGUGUACUAAUAAUACAAUUUUUUUUUUAGGACCAAAGAACAGGAAUUAUGUAAUUUAAAUUAACAUGUAUUUUUGAAACUGUUACAGAUUCCUUAAGAUGAGCUGAGCAGCAGUCCAGUUUACAAGAUGACAAGAGUUCGAGAGACAAGAUACAAGAUCACUGAAACAAGAGCCAAGACUGAAGAUUCAAGAGAAGAGAAAGCUGGCAGCCAUGGACUUACAAGUGGAGAUUAAUAAGGUUAUGUAAAGUUUUAUUUUUUUAUGGAAGACAGUAACUGGAGUUUUUUUUUGUUAUAAACAUUAUUUACAGAACUUUUUAGGUUAUAGUAAUGUGAUGGAACUAGUGAGUUGUGGUAGCUGUCAAAAAGAACUAAUACCUUAAGUUUAAUUUUUAAAGUUAAUUUUCUUAAUUUACAGAGGGAUUAGUAGUUUUUUUUAAACCUUAUUUAGGUUGGAAUUUAAAUACAAUAGCUUAUUAUAAAUGUGUACGAACAGUUCAAGUUCACAGUACUGAUAGGUAGGUCAGAUGAUCUUAUUGAUUUUGAUGAUUUGUUGUUUUGAGUUGAUUUUUAAGUGUUGUGAAUUAGACAAUGAAAUAGUUCUGAAAACUUAAAUUAUUUCAAGCUAAGAAAUAGUAAAGUUAAUUGUAACUCAAAGGACACCAGAAUUUAAUUUUUUUUUGAAUUAGUAAUGUUUGAAAAUUUUAUACUUUACAAGAAAGGUUAUAAACAAACAGAUCGGAUGGAACAAGGAUGCAGUAAAUCACAAUUUCAUUUAGAAUUAUUGAUUAGCUUUUGAGGUUAUGAAGUAAAAGUAAUUAUAGUUUAAAAGUUUGAAUAAAAAAAUGUUUUUUUUUAAUUUGUUUGAAAUAGAAAGUUUAAAAGUUAAUUAGUCAUGAUCUAGGUGGGUGAUGGGGUGGGAAUUGGCCACUCUUUUUCCCUAUAACCUCCCUAACAUGGCCUUCUAUUACAACUAACAGAAAUAAAGAAGAAGAAAAAUGAAGAAUUAUUAGUUAGAAUGUUUCUUUCAUGAAGAUACCUGAUGAACUUUUACUGUUUGGAAGAAUAGAAGCAAGGUUAGUCAGAUAUUUUUACUCAGAAGAAGAAGAAGAUAAAGCAGUUUUAUGACUCGACAAGCCAGAGAUUGGUGUUUCCCCUCUGCGCUUCUAUUGACUACGUUGUUUACUCUCAUGGGAUAGCUGGUUCGGCACCAUGGAGAGAGAUUGGUGGGCAUUGUGGUUGCCCCCAGAAGAAAAGAAGAGUAGAAGAGGUUAUGGGUGGGUCAUGUGAACUGACCUUCAACCCAGUUACUUCGUGGGGACUAUUUGCUGUAUAGAGAAGAUCAAGACUCAAGAGUUAGGGAAAAUCAUUGGAGGUCAUGUUUCCCUUCCUUAAGUUUUUCCUAUCAAAUUAUUUGCCUGAUUAGAUUAUGCUAAGGGUGGGAUACUUUAUGUUAGCAGUUGAAUUAAUUAAUUUUAUUUUUUUGUGUGUUUGCAUCCUUGCCCAUCGAUUGCAGUUUAGUAGUUAGUUUUGUAUUUGGCAGGCGUGAUGGUAAUGCCUGUUGAUGAUGUUUCAGAAUUGUAAUCUGUUCGUGAUGAGGAUGGCACAACUCCGAAGCAGAUGUGGGGAGAAGUUGUGAGCUGCCCUGGAAGCCAGUCCAGUAGCUGUUGGAGUUGAGUGGUGUUUGCUGAUGGCCAGCCCAGGGAGCUACUCUUCUCGACAACACUGACUUCGAGGAGUUGCACCAACCUUCACGAGAUAAGAGUUUAAUUAAUUGAAACACUGUAAGGACACUUAAUUUUUUUUGAAGAACGAAAGAAGUAUGGUAAUAAACGGAAACCGAAAAAAAAAAAUAAUAAUAAUUAUCAAGAAUUUGCACAUUGUUUAACGAAUACUGAGAAACUAAGAACAGUAAUUUAAUUUGUAAAGAGAGCUUCACUAACAGAACAAUUUUUUUAGAAUUGAGAACUCGAGCCUCUGAAGGUUCCUGUGAGAACAAACCAGAUAAAAGUUUUACAUUUAAUUUUAUGAAUACUUGUUGUUUUAAAAUAAAUCUUAUGCAGAAUCUAGAUGUAUGUUCAGACAGCAAGGAACUAAGAAAAUUAUUAUUUUUGUGAAAUGAGGAAUUUAUAGUUAUGGUUUAAUGGAAAAAGACAAUUUGUAAUUUUGAGGUAGCUCGAUGGGGCUCGAGCUCUGUGAGGGGAGGGUUAUGUCGCGGGUUGAAAUUUUGCAGGGUUGUUGAAAUCAAAUUUAGGGACUUUACUGACGGGACUCUGGGCUGGCUGCUCUGUUCACUCGUCAGCGCAAGUGGCGUGACCAUGUAAUUGGGGCACGGGGCCGGCGCGGCGCGCUGCGGGCUUGCAGAAUUUUGUUUGUUUGUUUGGCCGCGCGCUGGCGCAGCCACGGGCCGCAGUUACUGGGGCGCGCUGUCGUAACAAGCCGCGCGGUGUGGCCUGCACAUUGGGGUAGAGGGGGGGUAGUCUUCCCAGAUGUUCUAGUUAGUUGUUUAGUAAAUUUGACUUCAAUAACGAGCUUUUGUUAUGGUAGGCGCGGCAGGGCGCGCGAAUUUAAGCGCAAGUGAGUGGUGACUCGGGGCUCACUCAGGCGGAGGCUAUGCGUCUCACCUGUGGUCACGAGUUGUUAGUUCGUUCGUGAUGUAGGAAUUCAAGCUUUCGGGCGGAAGCUAUGGUCGACGCCAGAGGCCACGAGUCGUUUAAUUUAAGUUAGGUCAUAAUGUAGUCGUCAAGCUCACUCAGGCGGAGGCUAUGCGUCUCACCUGUGGUCACGAGUUGUUAGUUCGUUCGUGAUGUAGGAAUUCAAGCUUUCGGGCGGAAGCUAUGGUCGACGCCAGAGGCCACGAGUCGUUUAAUUUAAGUUAGGUCAUAAUGUAGUCGUCAAGCUUUCGGGCGGAGGCUAUGGCCCUCGUCAGGGGUCACGCGUCAUAGUUUUUAAAAUGUAAUGUUCGUUCGGGAUUUCAAGGGCAGGAGAGGCCCCUACGUUAUUUUUUUUAAAGUAAUCGAUCAAGAAAGGCUUUUCGGAAAAUGUGAGUAUGGACUUAUCUUUGUUUUAAUUUUAAGUAUUAAUUAUGAUUUGAGGUAUUCGGAAGGACUAGGGAAGUGUUUAGUGAAGUUCUCUCAUUCUCUCUCUUGUAAGGUCGUUCAAUCGUUAAGGAAGUAAAGAGAUUAUUGUUUUAAAUUGUAAUCCCGCUAUUCAAAUGUUCUUUAAAAUGAUGUUGAGUAUUUGACUUUAAGAAUAAAAUAAUUUUAAUUAAGUA